GAUGAAGAACGUAGCGAAAUGCGAUAAGUAGUGUGAAUAGCAGAAUUCAGUGAAUCAUCGAAUCUUUGAACGCACAUUGCGCCCCUUGGUAUCCCGAGGGGCAUGCCUGUUCGAGCGUCAUUUCACCACUCAAGCCUGGCUUGGUGUUGGGCGACGUCCUCUUUGGGGACGCGCCUCGAAACGCUCGGCGGCGUGGCACCGGCUUUAAGCGUAGCAGAAUCUUUCGCUUUGGAAGUCGGGGCCCCGUCUGCCGGAAGACCUGCUCGCAAGGUUGACCUCGGAUCAGGCAGGGAUACCCGCUGAACUUAAGCAUAUCAAUAAGCGGAGGA
rnacentral:misc_RNA from 1 species